GACGAACGCUGGCGGCGUGCUUAACACAUGCGAGUCGAACGGAAAGGCCCUGCUUUUGUGGGGUGCUCGAGUGGCGAACGGGUGAGUAACACGUGAGUAACCUGCCCUUGACUUUGGGAUAACUUCAGGAAACUGGGGCUAAUACCGGAUAGGAGCUCCUGCUGCAGGGUGGGGGUUGGAAAGUUUCGGCGGUUGGGGAUGGACUCGCGGCUUAUCAGCUUGUUGGUGGGGUAGUGGCUUACCAAGGCUUGGACGGGUAGCCGGCCUGGGAGGGUGACCGGCCACAUUGGGACUGAGAUACGGCCCAGUCUCCUACGGUAGGCAGCAGUGGGGAAUCUUGCACAAUGGGCGGACGCCUGAUGCAGCAGCGCCGCGUGCGGGAUGACGGCCUUCGGGUUGUAAACCGCUUUCGCCUGUGACGAAGCGUGAGUGACGGUAAUGGGUAAAGAAGCACCGGCUAACUACGUG
rnacentral:rRNA from 1 species